rnacentral:rRNA from 1 species
AUACGGAGGGUGCAAGCGUUAUUCGGAAUCACUGGGCGUAAAGCGCGCGCAGGCGGCUAUUUAAGUUGGAUGUGAAAGCCUAUGGCUCAACCAUAGAACUGCAUCCAAAACUAUUUAGCUAGAGUGUGGGAGAGGAAGAUGGAAUUAGUUGUGUAGGGGUAAAAUCCGUAGAGAUAACUAGGAAUACCAAAAGCGAAGGCAAUCUUCUGGAACACUACUGACGCUGAGGCGCGAAAGCGUGGGGAGCAAACGGGAUUAGAAACCCUAGUAGUCC